rnacentral:lncRNA from 1 species
CCACCUCACAUGCAACAGCUAGAGAAUCCCUCAUCAAACACAAUGCCUGUCGAAGAAGAAAUACAGUUCAAAGCAAGUCCAGAUGAGCCCCAGGUUAUGGAAGAGAGGCCCAUAGUGCAAGAACCUCUUGCUGAAUUAGCUUAAUAUGUGGUAUUCUUCCAAGCUGCCUUAAGUGUAGAAAGGGUUGUUAGUUUGACUUUGGUAUCUUUAUGCUGAAAUUUUGUAUGUUGUCUAUCCGAAUAGCUGGACUUAUUCCCAUAGUGCAAGAACCUGUUGCUGAAUUAGCUUCAUUUGUGGUAUCUUCCAAGCUGCCUUUAAGUGUAGAGAGGGGUGUUACUUGGACUUUGGUAUCUUAUGCUGAAAUUUUGUAUGUUGUCUUUCCCAAUAGCUGGAC